CAACCCUCGAGCCCCCGUGGCCCGGCGUUGGGGAUCUGCCACGGCAGGCCCCUAAAACCAGUGGCGGACCCGAAGGGCCCUCUCCUUUGCGCAGUAGCAUCAGCCUCGCAUCGGGAGCCCUCGGCGUCCUGCCUCUAAACCCCCUACAAGCCCGCCCCGGCGGCACCAA
rnacentral:misc_RNA from 1 species